AGGCGCGCACCCUCUUUAAUUGCUCCCCAUGAAUCAUGUGGCAGUCGUGCACCCAGAGAACAAAAGUGACAUCUUCAUUUGAUCUGAUUCUGAAGAGCUGUGAAACUCUGCUAUGAGCUUUGAGAUUCUGUGCAAGUAUUUCUCUUUAAGCUCCAGUGGUCGAAUUUUAAAGGGAUGUCACAACAUGACCCUUCAGAAGUCUAAGAUGCUGGUUUGCUGUUCAGCAUUACUGACAGCAGCAGCCAAUCAAAGGUGUGAACAGACUUCGCUGAUAUGAGGGGCUGAAGACACACAGGUCUGUUCAUGGAUAUAUGUUUUGGAUACUGUCCAAUAUUAAAAUUAUAUUAACAAAAGGGAACAAAUGGAAUUUACUUGCCAAAUCUCUUUCUCACAGAAAACAGAGAAAACAUUCACUGCUUUUGAUUAAGAAACCUUUGCUAGCGUCAAUAAGAUUUUAAAACCAUAAAUUAACACACAGGUGGGCAUUCCGGGUCCUGGAGCUUCAACCCUAAAUC